UUGGACAUAGUUUAGACCUCUGUGAUAAAACUGGGUCCGGGGGAAGAUCGGGGCAGGGGCAUAAAACCUGCUGCUCACCGCCUGGCUGAUACCAUCCGUAGGAAGAAUGGGAUAAACUGCCCGAAUCCAGUUGUGCAAAGAUUUUAGCGACAUAAACAAGAAGACUGGAAGCUAAAAACUGCUGCCAAAGGGGCUUCUGCAAAGUACUGGAUCAAGGGUCUGGAGGGUUUUGUAAAUGAGACAUUUCAGUUUAAACACGAUCCUCUGGAAAAUAUCCCAAGAUGUUCUGCUGCAACCCUGACGACCAUGACCUUUACACAGAUGGCGCCGAAGCAUCAGCAAAAAAACAAACUUCCCCUGAACACUCAGUGUGUCGGAAAUUAUGUGAAGUGAGGGCGAGAGCUCCAGACUCCGAAAACUAACCUGCUGGAAUUCAAGAUCUUCGUCAUAGCUUCCUAUCACUCCAGGCUUCCGAUGAAGUUUCCGAAGAAACGUCAUCAGGUGUACGAGCGGACUUCCCAGCGUGCAUCGUCUGAGAGAUAAAACGCCCCGGAGACUCCUCUCAUUUGCAGCCUGGAGAAGCUUUUUGCGAUGGAAACUCUCUGUGUGUUCUCAGGACACGUUCAGAUAAACCCCCGGGUGUUUCCUGACAACAGUACGAAGCCAUCAGCAGCUGUGGGUUCCUCACGUCAAACGAAGAACUGACUCUGACUGAAAAAGUGCGAACGGAAACCGAAUCUGUCUCCAGUGUUUGUCCGCCUGACGGAUCUGUUGUUGACACAACUUGUUGUAAUUAAGUUGACUGAAUUAGUUUUCUAGAGCUCAGUGAGCUUAACUCAGCUGGUCUGACAUUUUCAAACGUCACGAGACGACUUUGAACUAAUCACUCAACCUGCGUUCAGUCACAUUUCGAAGGCAGCAGGAGACGUUUUAUGUUUGUUUGAGUUGAACCGGUUUGAAAUGAUUUACUGCGUAAACGCUGGUUGUCAUGAAAUGAACUAGGUGCUGAUUUCCACGUUUCCUUUGCUAUUUGACUUUUUAUUUCUUCAUUUAUUGGUUCUUUUAUCAGUUUUCAGUC